GGUGAGGUGUCUGAGAGGAUGAAAGAGCACGCUUGGAAAGCGUGUAUACGAAAAUAUCGUAUCAAGGGUUCGAAUCCCUUUCUCACCA
rnacentral:tRNA from 1 species